rnacentral:rRNA from 1 species
UACGAAGGCAGCAGUGGGGAAUAUUGCACAAUGGGCGCAAGCCUGAUGCAGCCAUGCCGCGUGUAUGAAGAAGGCCUUCGGGUUGUAAAGUACUUUCAGUCGUGAGGAAGGUGUUAAGGUUAAUAACCUUAGCAAUUGACGUUAGCGACAGAAGAAGCACCGGCUAACUCCGUGCCAGCAGCCGCGGUAAUACGGAGGGUGCGAGCGUUAAUCGGAAUUACUGGGCGUAAAGGGCACGCAGGCGGUUAAUUAAGUUGGAUGUGAAAUCCCCGGGCUUAACCUGGGAAUGGCAUUCAAGACUGGUUAGCUAGAGUCUUGUAGAGGGGGUAGAAUUCCAUGUGUAGCGGUGAAAUGCGUAGAGAUGUGGAGGAAUACCGGUGGCGAAGGCGGCCCCUGGACAAAGACUGACGCUCAUGUGCGAAAGCGUGGGGAGCAAAC